rnacentral:lncRNA from 1 species
ACUGUCUUCUCUAUGGUUAAAUUAAAGUUCAGCGUCUCCACUUGCCUCUCCUCUCAUUUCUUUCGGAAAGCGGAAACCAGACGACCCAGCGGCCAUGGGACGAGCCGCCCCAACUCAACCCCAGCAGGACGCUGGAGGGGCCUCCCUCCCCCGCCUCUCUUCGCCGGCGCUGGCCUCCCGCACCCGGGUCUGCAGUCCCUCCGCCAUCUCGCAGGUGUGCGGCCGCUAGGCCUGGGGGAUCCGAAUGACUGGGGCUGGAUAGGAAUGCCUUCGUGUUUCCCAAGACCCCUGGGCCUGCUCCACAAAGUUUGAAGGGCUUCUGCUUUGUGUGAUCAGAGAAGGGAUCCCACAUAUGGGAAUGGUUAGUGGCUUUUGGGACUCUCCAGGAGCCUCUGUUUUAAGAAUGAGGCCAAAUGUGCAGGCUCAGGCCAAGCGGCAGAGAUGAAUGAGGUGAUGACCACAGCCUUGAUCCGGCAGGAGCUCAGAGAUGCCCGGGAAGACGGGGGGCCCGAACGGAAGCAGAAAAACACUUAUGGCCGCUGGGAAGUUGGGAGAGCGAGGCUGGGGCUCUGGCAGGCCCAGGGAAAGUUCCCUGUCUAGGCUCUUUAUUAAAAAAUUUAAAAGGAGGAGUUGAGGCACCUUGAAUAUUCCUUCGCGAGUUUGGAGACUAGCCGAUUUUUCAUGAAGCAAGCAAAGACCGCGGUCCCGGAUCCUGCAACUUCUACCUCAUUUUCUCCAGGCCUCUCCACUUGCCCGAGCUCUCAGCCACCAGGAGACAGACGGAAGGGGCUUCUGGAUUGCGUUGGGAGCGGGCACUGUCCCCUACCCACUCCUGCUCAGUUUCCCAAAGUCCAGCGACUUCCGACCCUCCUUGGGGGGAAAAAUACCAGUACCCAGACACCUUUGCACCCUGUUAUAUGACUGGGCUUGCUUCAGGAAUAUCUUACAAAGAAGAAGAAGAAGAAAGAACGGCUUGGAGUCAUGUUUACAUCUAGUUCUACUGAUCCGUUCACAUCUGGAGAGUUUAUUUAUAACUCCCUCUAUAACUCUCUGUUUGGAGACACUGUGGCUCUAUUGACAGACUGAUAUCUAGGAAAUAUUGCUCUAUGUCUAACCGUACCUAAAUGUGCUGUGGUUGUAUUUACAGAUUUAUGUUUGAGGGAAAUAUAACUAUUUCCAUUGUAUUUGUGCAUAUACAGUAGUUAUAGGAGCAGAUUUAUAUAUGGGAAAAUAUACGACUCUCUUACAGCCAUCCAGCUUUAUGUACAUUUGAUAUCCUGACAGAUUUAUAUCUCUGAACAGCUAUAUAGAUAAAAACGUAUAUUGUUAGAAUUAUGUAUCAGAAGAUAUAUACUUAUUGAUUGUGAAAUAGAGUAGUUAGAGCAUUCAUUUAGAGCCAUAUAUGGCU